UACGAAGGGGGCUAGCGUUGCUCGGAAUGACUGGGCGUAAAGGGCGCGUAGGCGGAUGGCACAGUCAGAUGUGAAGUUCCCGGGCUUAACCUGGGGGCUGCAUUUGAUACGUGUGAUCUAGAGUGAGGAAGAGGGUCGUGGAAUUCCCAGUGUAGAGGUGAAAUUCGUAGAUAUCGGGAGGAACACCAGUGGCGAAGGCGGCGAUCUGGGAAGAUACUGACGCUGAGGUGCGAAAGCGUGGGGAGCAAACAGG
rnacentral:rRNA from 1 species